rnacentral:rRNA from 1 species
AGAACGAACGCUGGCGGCAUGCCUAAUACAUGCAAGUUGAACGAACACUUCGGUGUUAGUGGCGCACGGGUGCGUAACGCGUGGGAAUCUGCCCUUGGGUUCGGAAUAACAGUUGGAAACGACUGCUAAUACCGGAUGAUAUCGAAAGAUCAAAGAUUUAUCGCCCAGGGAUGAGCCCGCGUAGGAUUAGCUAGUUGGUAGAGGUAAAGGCUCACCGAAGGCGACGAUCCUUAGCUGGUCUGAGAGGAUGAUCAGCCACACUGGGACUGAGACACGGCCCAGACUCCUACGGGAGCAGCAAGUAGGGAAUAGUUAGGACAGUGGGCGCAACGCUGAUCCAGCAAG